rnacentral:misc_RNA from 1 species
GAUGAAGAACGCAGCGAAAUGCGAUAAGUAAUGUGAAUUGCAGAAUUCAGUGAAUCAUCGAAUCUUUGAACGCACAUUGCGCCCCCUGGUAUUCCGGGGGGCAUGCCUGUCCGAGCGUCAUUGCUGCCCUCAAGCACGGCUUGUGUGUUGGGCCUCCGUCCUCCUCCCAGGGGACGGGCCCGAAAGGCAGCGGCGGCACCGCGUCCGGUCCUCGAGCGUAUGGGGCUUCGUCACCCGCUCUUGUAGGCCCGGCCGGCGCUUGCCGACACAUCAAUCUUUUUUCCAGGUUGACCUCGGAUCAGGUAGGGAUACCCGCUGAACUUAAGCAUAUCAAUAAGCGGAGGA